AGGUGUUUAGAGAUAAACAUAAAAAGGAAUCAAGUAAAAUCUUGAACUGUCCCAGCAACUGUGAUGUUGACGAAAUCAUUAAUCCAUUGGGAAACUGAGAAGGAAUGAAAGUAGGAUGAAACUAAGUCAGGAGACUUACCUAAUAAAUUA
rnacentral:ncRNA from 1 species